GACAGCACUGUGGAGAAGGAUAAAGUGAAGCAGGCAGCAGACUGCUGUAGGAAGGUCCUCAAUCACGUGAACAAGAAAGGAAAGGGAUCCGAGGACAAGCAGACAGUGGCUUCUUUGUAAGAGUGCCUACUUAUCCCUGUUGUUUCUCCAGAGGUUGGAGGGCUGUCAGAAAAGACUGAUCUCUCCUCUCUAAAGCAGACAGACAACCCCAUCCUGAUCCUGGAGCUAAAGGCAUGCUGCAGUGAAACAAAGCACGGGGAAGGAGGAGGAGGAGGAGGAGAGUGCGUGUUUUGAGGAGGCAUUGAGAAGCCAGACAAGGUCUCCCCCUUUCAUCGAGCAGGAGCCAAUAUCAGAUGGAUUGGACUGAAGAUCAAUAGGCUCCACGGUCUGAUUAAUCCAUGGUCUCUCCUGAGUAAUCACUGUCCCAAGCACAAUGAUGAGCCAGGCCAAACAUCGAGAGGAUGUGCAAAGCCAAUGCUGGGAGAUGAAUGAACUGACUCCUUCAAAUUGGAAAAAUAUGUGAAAAUAUGCACUGCUGAAAGAGCACACAGCUAUGUAUGGCAACCCAGGAAAAGAAUAACUGAACCUAUUCACAUUUUGCUGCAGUGGGACUCUUUAUAAUCGACCUAUCCAAUAAUAAAAAGCCACCUGUGGCAUGAUUUGGCAUUAACCCUGUCUAAUUACCACCUCAAACUUUGAUGGAGUACCUGGGAAAAAAAGCUUCCGGCAGGCCAGCUGGCAUGGGGCUCCCAGGUUCAGCCUGCUGUGAAAGAGAAACCAGAGACAGCUCCACACAGCCUCUGAGCUGUUGAACUGUGAUCUGGGACUGAGCUUAACAUAGCUCAGGGCUGUGGCAGAAAUCAAUGGCCCUUUUGGCAGGCAUGUUUUUGCUGAUUUUGGUGACCAGUGGAAAGGUACACAGCUGCUGUCGUGCCAGGUUGGUUCAGCAGGGACAGAAAAUCUGGUUUUAGUAAUCAAUGCCACGCAAACAAAGAGAAAAAGGAAGGAGAGACUCCAAAUGAAAAAGGGAGAUGUUCACAGCUGAAGUGUGUUGAUGGACAAAUGGCUGGAGUCAGCUGGCUGUGUCCUCUCAGCAUGUAAUGGAACCACAGCCACUGAAUGUGACAGUGAUGAAUGGAGGCUGUCUCCUUCCCUUUGAUGCUUGAUGUUGUUAAGAAGAGGAAUUGAUUUGUUACCUAUUAUCCUAAAUAUAUGUCUAUGACAUGUGUAAUGUUGUAAACAAACAGACAAGCCCAGCAUCAUGUUGGUUGACUAAUUUGGGGCCCUUUCGUCAUUUGAAAUGCAGCAACUGUCUUCUCUGUGGGAGUGAAACUGAUAAACUUUGCAGUGCUCUUAAAUCUUUUUUUUUUUAAUCACUUGAACAGACAAAUCUGAGAGUGGUAUUGUGUUAAUGAAAAUCUUAGCAAGAUAAUUAAAUGGAAAAAAGUAAAACUAAUUUAUGAAGGUAAAUAUGUUACAAAAUGCUCGAGCUUGUAGACUUGAUAUGAGAACCUACAGAAUACGAUUUGAGAACUUGUGGAUCAAAAUCUGAACUUGUAUGUUUCAUUUUUCAUUUGUAAAAAAAUUCACACACAUGUGAGCUGAAUGUGAACCCCUCACCCAUCAUGAUUUGCUAGCUGUCAACAAGUUACAGCUGGAGUUGUUUAUAUCGGUCCACGCACACCUGCCGACCAUGUCAGAAGGAGUGCUACAUUGACUAAACAUACCAUAAUUAAAAUACUUUGUCCCAGUUGG